GACGAACGCUGGCGGCGUGCUUAACACAUGCAAGUCGAACGGAAAGGCCCUGCUUUUGUGGGGUGCUCGAGUGGCGAACGGGUGAGUAACACGUGAGUAACCUGCCCUUGACUUUGGGAUAACUUCAGGAAACUGGGGCUACUACCGGAUAGGAGCUCCUGCUGCAUGGUGGGGGUUGGAAAGUUUCGGCGGUUGGGGAUGGACUCGCGGCUUAUCAGCUUGUUGGUGGGGUAGUGGCUUACCAAGGCUUUGACGGGUAGCCGGCCUGAGAGGGUGACCGGCCACAUUGGGACUGAGAUACGGACCAGACUCCUACGGGAGGCAGCAGUGGGGAAUAUUGCACAAUGGGUGGAAGCCUGAUGCAGCAACGCCGCGUGCGGGAUGACGGCCUUCGGGUUGUAAACCGCUUUCGCCUGUGACGAAGCGUGAGUGACGGUAAUGGGUAAAGAAGCACCGGCUAACUACGUG
rnacentral:rRNA from 1 species